ACCUCAACCUCCAUGAGUCCCCGGGUACCCACUCUUAAGCACCCCCCCGACCCCCCCGGACCCCGAAAGAUGCUUAGUGGCGCUCUCAAAAGGGUCGGACACCUGGUAACCAGAAUGCAUUAAAACAGCAGUCUACCAAACAGCCAGCAGAGGGCCGCUACCAGGGAAUGCACUGCCUGGGAGAGAUAGACUGAUAGGACCUGAUCCAAAUCACACAGCCCGGUCAUACACUGUCCACAAGAUGCUCUGAUGCUUGCUUCAUAUUUCACAGGGGACACUACUCAAAAACACAACACUGUACACUAGCACCAGCCUGUAAGUACACCAUUUCUGAGGUAGGCAGCACCUCUUUUACUUUAUUAAAUGAUCCAAAUCAUUGUAAAAAAUACCCCUGGGUUAUGUGCCAUAUUUGCCCCGUGACUGAUGGCCUGGGAACAUCCAAAUACAUCUUAUUUCAGCAAAUCAUUUCUUUGCACUCGCAUUCACAGUGUGUCUCACAAUCAACUUCAUGACAAGUGUCUCCCUCUCCUGGCUGGAGUUGGUACUAUGCUAUAUUCUCCGUAGUUGGUGAAUUUUAGCAUAUCUCCACAGGGGGGGCGUGUUUUUGUCGACCUCUCCUGGUUGGAAUUAAGAACAACAUGUGCUAUAGCAUCGCGUCGUAUUUGGUGAGUUGCAAUAAAUCUUCCAACACAUUGUAGGCGUAAUAUUUCUUUUAUUUUCUUCAUGGAAUCAAUUGUUUCAUCCAAGUACAUGCCCGUACCAUUACACCGGAACGGAACAACAUUACACUGCAACGAAACGCCCGUUGCUGUUGACAUUAGCCUCCCAGAAACGAGUGUAGUACAAUAGUAGCCUAUUCACCGUGGUGGCCAAAUGCUCUUGUUUGCUAGGCAAAACUCGUCUGUGCAUUACCAAACCUUGAUCAUAUCAGACCGGGAAAGACGACGUGUUUGUAGCCUAUUCAUUUAGAGAAGAGGAGAAGAGGAGAAUUCACAAUAAAUCCCUCUCACAGCCACCGGAGGGCGAGCAUUCAAAGUGAGCACGGGUGAAGAGGAUAACUAUACAAAUCAUUGGAAAUCUCCUUGGAUAAAUUCAUUUGAUCGCCUAUUCCCUAUGGGCAAAAUGCUAUUGAUUUUUUAAACCAAUCUCUUCUUGGCUUUUCUAUAGCAAUCGGGUGAAUACGAUUUACAUUGCGUUAGGAACCUUUGAUUCCGGAUAUCAUGUUGACAAUGGGACACGGUUAACUGUAAAACAGGAUGUUUUUCUCCGUCGUUCAGGUAAGCUUUCGUUCAAUACACCUGCUUAAAACACCUGUUUAGUGUAUCCUAUUAUAACCCAGCGAAAGAGGGAGACUUGUGGUAACGCUGCGGGUACAGCUCCGGGGGGGAAAAAAUUACAAGACCACUGAACCAUUGAUCUGGCCUGCCUGCCUGCCUGGGCCUCCUCCCUGCCUGGGCCUCCUCCCUGCCUGGGCCUCCUCCCUGCCUGGGCCUCCUCCCUGCCUGCCUGCCAGCCUGCCAGCCUGCCUGCAUAGAGAAACUAGAGCCAGGGCUAACCCUAUCAUCCAGUACCCAGGCCCGUGCUAAUCGCACCUGUAGUUCCUAAGAUAGUCCAAGUUGAAGCACAGCCAAUCACAAGCCAGAUAUGCAAAUGAGAGUCAAACUCUUGAGGGUCAAAGUCGUUUUUAUCCUAAUACCUAACCCUAA